UACGUAGGGACCAAGCGUUGUUCGGAUUUACUGGGCGUAAAGGGCGCGUAGGCGGCGUGACAAGUCACUUGUGAAAUCUCUGAGCUUAACUCAGAACGGCCAAGUGAAACUGUUGUGCUAGAGUGCAGAAGGGGCAAUCGGAAUUCUUGGUGUAGCGGUGAAAUGCGUAGAUAUCAAGAGGAACACCUGAGGUGAAGACGGGUUGCUGGGCUGACACUGACGCUGAGGCACGAAAGCGUGGAGAGCAAACAGG
rnacentral:rRNA from 1 species